ACAGGGGGCGUGACGCCAAAGCGGAGGAUUCCAGGAGUGCCGUCAUCUGGCCGUGUUUGCCGUCUCCUUGGCCUCCCCCCAGCACGCUGACUGACGGGCUUUCAGCGCUGCGACGGCCUGCCCAUCUCCAUCCUCCCUGCUUGGAGUUCUCCACCCUUGGCUCGUGUUUUGGCAGUGGCGUGGGCCUGCGAGGGCCCAGAGCCCGAGGCGUCACCACCACUGUGGAGCAGCAGUCGCCGCUGAAGCACCAGAUCACCCGCCUUCACCUCCAACACCUCAUCAUCCCUGGAGGCUUGUAGUGUACCUGGAGAGAUGUGCAUCAGAAUUACAAGGGAGAUGUGCGCCAUGUCAACAGGAUCUGGUACGACUGUCUUCACCCAGAACAAUGCUAAGCUUCAACCUUCCCAGUGUUGGCCUUCUCACCGAACUAAUGAGGGAAGACACGCCUACUGUGAGACAAUGGCUGUGCUUGGAAAGCACAAGGGAGCCUCUUUCUAGUUUACUCUUUGUUUUAUUAUGGCUGUACUUUCUGUGUAAAAUCUCAUUUAUAUAAAGUUUGUGGUGCUAUAAAUUUUUAUCAAAUUAAAAUAUUGUCAAAUUUUGAGUUUCACUUUUUAACAAUUAAUAGAAUUUUUUUUUUUUUUAUUUAGAAUAUGCAUUUUGGUCAGGGCCAGACAUAGGAAAUGUGCAUCCAAAAAAAAAAAAAAAAAUCAAAAAUUAACUACAGAAAAAAAAUUGCAAAAAAAAAACAGUGGAAUAAAACUCUCUCGAAAAGCCCAAGAAAUAUAAAAAUUCUUAAAAGCAAAACGUAAGGAUGAAUGGACAGACAAAGAAAUAAAGAAAUACAACCUCAACAGGGCACAAACCAGUGUCCUACUUGUACAUGUCCCAAGCCCGGUGAAUGUAAAUGGUAGUGCAGUUUUUAUUGUUAUACAUUUUCAUCAAGUUAAAAGAAUGUAUAAUGUAACUUUCAAUUUUAACAAUAUAUAUAUAUAUUUUUAGAAUCUGCUUAGAAUCUGCAUCUCUGUUGGGGCUGGAUAUAGGCAUGGCACAGGGGGCAGUGUGCCCCUAAAUGCCCCUCAAAUGUGCUGGCCUGCAAUAAUCCAAAAUUAGAAAUAAAACUUAAAAAUAAAUAAAUAAAUAAAAUAAAAA